rnacentral:tRNA from 1 species
AAGAAGGUGGCAGAUUGGCUAUGCGUUUGGUUUGAAACCAGAUAAUGGGGGUUCGAUUCCUUCCUUUCUUG